UACGAAGGGGGGCUAGCGUUGCUCGGAAUCACUGGGCGUAAAGCGCACGUAGGCGGAUUGCUAAGUCAGGGGUGAAAUCCCAGAGCUCAACUCUGGAACUGCCUUUGAUACUGGGUAUCUCGAGUAUGGAAGAGGUGAGUGGAAUUCCGAGUGUAGAGGUGAAAUUCGUAGAUAUUCGGAAGAACACCAGUGGCGAAGGCGGCUCACUGGUCCGGUACUGACGCUGAUGUGCGAAAGCGUGGGGAGCAAACAGG
rnacentral:rRNA from 1 species